rnacentral:lncRNA from 1 species
CCACAUUUAGUUGGAAUAAAAUAACUAAUUUUGGGAUUGUAGUGUUUUUUUAUACCCAUGAAAAGGUGAAAUAACUAAUCCCAAUAUAAUUAAUCCAUGAUAACAUCUUUCCAAAUUCCAACCAAACGAUCCCUUACUCCCUUGAAUAACAAUUGGCAGACCUUAUCAUUUCCUCCCAAGUAUCACCUUGCUUACAACGAAAGAGACACAACUCUUAACACAUAAUGUUACAUAAAGUUCCCCAACAAUCCAUCGACUAGAAAGUAAUCCCACUAGUGAGGUCCCUCAUCAAUUCCAUAUGUGCAUAAUAUUGGAGAAACAAAAGUCUUUGUAACAAAAUUUAUUAUUCAACAUCUGAGCAAGCUAUGCUCUCUUGUUAACAUAAUAUUUAACUACAACAUCCUUCUUAAUUUUUGUCACAUUAUGUAUUAUUCAACAUCUGAGCAAGCUAUGCUCUCUUGUUAACAUAAUAUUUAACUACAACACCCUGAAAGUAUCCACCAAACGGAAAACUUGGGAAGACACUAGGGCAAUCUAUUCAGAAGAGAAGAACUUCACA